UGUGGUGUUUGGGAGGAUCCGCUUAUCCCGCGGUCGCACGGCGCGUCCAAGUCCUUCUUGAAGGGGGCCACUUACCCGGAGAGGGUGCCAGGCCCGUAUAGGCCGCAUUCGAUUGCGGGAGGAUCUCUCCUCAGAGUCGGGUUGCUUGAGAGUGCAGCCCUCAGUGGGUGGUAAACUCCAUCUAAGGCAAAAUAUGACCACGAGACCAAUCGCGAAUAAGUACCGUGAGGGAUAGUUGAAAAGAACUUUGAAGAGAGAGUUCACGAGUAUGUGAAACCGUUCAGGGGUAAACCUGAUAAACCCCAAUGGUCGAAGGGGGAGAUUCAACCGCGUCUCGGGAGCGGCGUGCCGUCGGCUCGCGACUGACGGCGUUCGCGCCGAUCCACGCCGUCUGCGGUCGUCCGGCCCCGAAUGCGUGCACUUCUCCCCUGUAAGGACGUCACGACCCGUUGGGUGCCGGUCCAAGGCCCGCGGUGGAGCCCGUUCGGACGGUUCGCCGUUCCGCGCGGACCCGCGCCCGACCGGCCCGCCCGACGGUACGAGGCGCUGGGCCGCGACUAGUUCGCGUCCG
rnacentral:rRNA from 1 species